rnacentral:rRNA from 1 species
AUUGAACGCUGGCGGCAGGCCUAACACAUGCAAGUCGAACGGUAGCACAGAGAGCUUGCUCUCGGGUGACGAGUGGCGGACGGGUGAGUAAUGUCUGGGAAACUGCCCGAUGGAGGGGGAUAACUACUGGAAACGGUAGCUAAUACCGCAUAACGUCGCAAGACCAAAGUGGGGGACCUUCGGGCCUCACACCAUCGGAUGUGCCCAGAUGGGAUUAGCUAGUAGGUGGGGUAAUGGCUCACCUAGGCGACGAUCCCUAGCUGGUCUGAGAGGAUGACCAGCCACACCGGAACUGAGACACGGUCCAGACUCCUACGGGAGGCAGCAGUGGGGAAUACUGCACAAUGGGCGCAAGCCUGAUGCAGCCAUGCCGCGUGUAUGAAGAAGGCCUUCGGGUUGUAAAGUACUUUCAGCGGGGAGGAAGGCGGUGAAGUUAAUAACUUCACCGAUUGACGUUACCCGCAGAAGAAGCACCGGCUAACUCCGUGCCAGCAGCCGCGGUAA